rnacentral:rRNA from 1 species
UACGGGGGGGGCAAGCGUUGUUCGGAAUUACUGGGCGUAAAGGGCUCGUAGGCGGCCAACUAAGUCAGACGUGAAAUCCCUCGGCUUAACCGGGGAACUGCGUCUGAUACUGGAUGGCUUGAGUGUGGGAGAGGGAUGCGGAAUUCCAGGUGUAUCGGUGAAAUGCGUAGAUAUCUGGAGGAACACCGGUGGCGAAGGCGGCAUCCUGGACCAUUACUGACGCUGAGUGAGCGAAAGCCAGGGGAGCAAACGGG